rnacentral:rRNA from 1 species
CCCUUAGAUGUUCUGGGCUGCACGCGCGCUACACUGAAGCGUUCAACGAGUAUUCACCUUGCCCGGGAGGGUUGGGUAAUCUUUUCAAAACGCUUCGUGAUGGGGAUAGAUUAUUGCAAUUAUUAAUCUUCAACGAGGAAUUCCUAGUAAGCGCGAGUCAUCAGCUCGCGUUGAUUACGUCCCUGCCCUUUGUACACACCGCCCGUCGCUCCUACCGAUUGAAUGGUCCGGUGAAAUCUUCGGAUUGCUGACCAAGAUCCAGCAAUGGAGCUUGGUUGCGAGAAGUUGAUUAAACCUUAUUAUUUAGAGGAAGGAGAAGUCGUAACA